AAGCUCGUAGUUGAAUUUCGAGACCAAUUUGUUGGUCGUGCCUCGGUACGUACUGGUAUUAUCGGUUUCUCCCUUCUGAAGAACCUCGAUGUCAUUAAUUUGGUGUCGUGGGGAAUCAGGACUGUUACUUUGAAAAAAUUAGAGUGUUUAAAGCAGGCAUACGCUUGAAUACAUUAGCAUGGAAUAAUGAAAUAGGACGUUUGAUUCUAUUUUGUUGGUUUCUAGGAUCGACGUAAUGAUUAAUAGGGAUAGUUGGG
rnacentral:rRNA from 1 species